rnacentral:rRNA from 1 species
GUGGGGAAUAUUGGACAAUGGGCGCAAGCCUGAUCCAGCCAUUCCGCGUGCAGGAUGAAGGCCUUCGGGUUGUAAACUGCUUUUGUACGGAACGAAAAGCCUCUGGUUAAUACCCGGGGGUCAUGACGGUACCGUAAGAAUAAGCACCGGCUAACUACGUGCCAGCAGCCGCGGUAAUACGUAGGGUGCGAGCGUUAAUCGGAAUUACUGGGCGUAAAGCGUGCGCAGGCGGCUAUGCAAGACAGAUGUGAAAUCCCCGGGCUCAACCUGGGAACUGCAUUUGUGACUGCAUGGCUAGAGUGCGUCAGAGGGGGAUGGAAUUCCGCGUGUAGCAGUGAAAUGCGUAGAUAUGCGGAGGAACACCGAUGGCGAAGGCAAUCCCCUGGGCCUGCACUGACGCUCAUGCACGAAAGCGUGGGGAGCAAACAGGAUUAGAUACCCUUGUAGUCC